GUUAAAAUUAUGUGUUCAGUUCAGGAAUAUUGAACCUAGCUCUCACUGUGUCCUGAACCCCUUACAAACAUUAAGUCACUCAUCCUCGUGACAGCCCCUGAGCCCCUCUGGGUGAAGCCAUGGCCACAGCGAGGUGGAGGGACAGGCCCGGUUCUUCCAGGAAGGUCAGAGCAGUCGAGCUUCAGAAACUCGUUCUUGACCCACUGCUCAGGUGGCUCCCGAAAUGCCAACUCUAGGACUGAUGACGGCCAGACCCACGGGAAACAGCUCAUUUACAGACUGUCACUGAGUGCCGACCUGGAAGAUGGGGUGAUUGGCGCCAUUUUGCUGUAUCUUCCUGCGAGUCCAGGAAUGGAUCUCCAAGGACCACGUAGGCGACUUUGCUCUGGUGAGAUGGUCAGUGAACAGCGCCCCCUGUGGUUUCCGUCCUGGGCGACACACGGUGCCUGCAAAGCCCCACCUACCUGUGAGGCGAGGAUUGAGCUUGAGAGAACCCCAAAUCCGGGAGCUGGGCGCCAGAGCAGGAUGCCGACCCCACGGGACAAGUGGCCAUCUAAGCAGUAGAAUCGGCCAUAAUACAGGAAACGAACCUGGAGAGGCUAAGUGUUCACCAUCACAGUGAGGAGGGUCAACCCAGUGCCGUGAAUCCCCAAUUUCAGAUUAAUCACGAGUGUCAAUGGUACCUGCAAUAACCAUGACGUGGUAUGAAAAUAACCGAUUUCUACUGGUGCGACAUCAUACGUUCCCUUGGCUCUGCUCUGAGGAUUUUUAAAUUCAAGCCUGAAGGAAAUACUAGAUUCCUGCUAGAGGUUAGUGAAAAUAAAAGAUGUGAUUUUUUUUUUUUUUUCCCGUCCAGCCUCACAGACCCCUGAAUGCUAUCUGUGCCCUGUGGGCGUCUGAGGACCCUAAGAUCACCUCCUCUAUGCACAAGGCCUCCUUGCUGCCUUUCCUGUCUUGCAUUGGGACAGAUACUCAGUACUUGGUUUUAGC